rnacentral:rRNA from 1 species
AGUGAACGCUGGCGGCAGGCCUAACACAUGCAAGUCGAACGGCAGCACAGUAAGAGCUUGCUCUUACGGGUGGCGAGUGGCGGACGGGUGAGGAAUACAUCGGAAUCUACUUUUUCGUGGGGGAUAACGUAGGGAAACUUACGCUAAUACCGCAUACGACCUACGGGUGAAAGCAGGGGAUCUUCGGACCUUGCGCGAUUGAAUGAGCCGAUGUCGGAUUAGCUAGUUGGCGGGGUAGAGGCCCACCAAGGCGACGAUCCGUAGCUGGUCUGAGAGGAUGAUCAGCCACACUGGAACUGAGACACGGUCCAGACUCCGACGGGAAGCAGCAGUGGGGAAUAUUGGGCAAUGGGGGCGAGCCUGAUCCAGCCAUACCGCGUGAGUGAAGAAGGCCUUCGGGUUGUAAAGCCCUUUUGUUGGGAAAGAAAAGCAGCAGGUUAAUACCCCGCUGUUCUGACGGUACCCAAAGAAUAAGCACCGGCUAACUUCGUG